GGGUUUUCGGGCUUUCUGAAGGUAAUACCCGGGUUUUAGGUUAUGGGGCUAGGGUAAGGUUUUUGGCGUUAGGGUUAAAAUCACUGUCCAAAACCUUUGUAGGAACUCUUUUCCAACCUUCUGGAGUUAGUUAGACCAGAAAAAAAUGAAAAAUGAAAAAAAAAAUAUUUGGGGUUUUCGGGCUUCCUGAAGGUAACACCCGGGUUUUAGGUUUUAGGGCUAGGGUAAGGUUUAAUUUUUUUGGUGUUAGGGUUAAAAUCACUGUCCAAAACCUUUGUAGGAACUCUUUUCCAACGUUAUGGAGUUAGUUAGACCCAAAAGAAAUGAAAAAUGAAAAAAAAAUAUUUGGGGUUUUCGGGCUUUCUGAAGGUAAUACCCUGGUAUAAGGUUUUGGGACUAAUGUUAGGUUUAAGGUUUUUGGCGUUAGGGUUAAAAUCACUGUCCAAAACCUUUGUAGGAACUCUUUUCCAACCUUUUGGAGUUAGUUACACCAAAAAAAGAAAAAAAAAAGGAACAAGAAAUAUUUGGGGUUUUCAGGCUUCCUGAAGGUAAUACCCGGGUAUUAGGUAAUGGGGCUAGGGUAAGGUUUAAAUGUUUUUGGAGUUCGGGUUAAAAUCACUGUCCAAAACCUUUGUAGGAACUCUUUUCCAACCUUUUGGAGUUAGUUAGACCAAAAAGAAAUCAAAAAUAAAAAAACAUAUUUGGGGUGUUCGGGCUUCCUGAAGGUAAUACCCAGGUAUAAGGGUAAUGGGGCUAGGGUCAGGUUUAAGGUUUUUGGCGUGAGGGUUAAAAUCCCUGUCCAAAACCUUUGUAGCAACUCUUUUCCAACCUUUUGGAGUUAGUUAGACCAAAAAUAAACGAAAAAUGAAAAAAAAAUAUUUGGGGUUUUCGGUCUUCCUGAAGGUAUUAGAUUAUGGGGCUAGGGAAAGGUUUAAGGUUUUUGGCGUUAGGGUUAAAAUCACUGUCCAAAACCUUUUUAGGAACAUUUUUCAGACCUUAUGGAGUUAGUUACACCAAAAAAAAAAAAUGAAAAAUGAAAAAAAAAUAUUUGGGGUUUUCGGGCUUCCUGAAGGUAAUACCCGAAGUAUUAGGUUUUGGGGCUAGGGUAAGGUUUAAGUUUUUUAGCGUUAGGGCUAAAAUCCCUGUCCAAAACCUUUGUAGGAACUCUUUUCCAACCUUUUGGAGUUAGUUAGACCAAAAUAAAACAAAAAAUGAAAAAAAAAAUAUUUGGGGUGUUCGGGCUUCCUGAAGGUAAUACCCGGGUAUUAGGUUAUGGGGCUAGGGUAAGGUUUUUGGCGUUAGGGUUAAAAUCACUGUCCAAAACCUUUGUAGGAACUCUUUUCCAACCUUUUGGAGUUAGUUACACCAAAAAAAAAUUUUAAAAUGAAAAAGAAAUAUUUGGGGUGUUUGGGCUUCCUGAAGGUAAUACCCGGGUAUUAGGUUAUGGGGCUAGUGAAAGGUUUCAGGUUUUUGGCGUAAGGGUUAAAAUCACUGUCCAAAACCUUUGUAGGAACUCUUUUCCAACCUUUUGGAGUUAGUUAGACCAGAAAAAAAUGAAAAAUGAAAAAAAAAAUAUUUGGGGUUUUCGGGCUUUCUGAAGGUAACACCCGGGUAUUAGGUUUUGGGGCUAGGGUAAGGUUUAAGUUUUUUGGUGUUAGGGUUAAAAUCACUGUCCAAAACCUUUGUAGGAACUUCUUUCCAACCUUUUGGAGUUAGUUAAACCAAAAAAAAUUGUAAAAUGAAAAAGAAAUAUUUGGGGUGUUCGGGCUUCCUGAAGGUAAUACCCGGGUAUUAGGUUAUGGGGCUUUGGUAAGGUUUAAGGUUUUUGGCAUUAUGGUUAAAAUCACUGUCCAAAACCUUUGUAGGAACUCUUUUCCAACCUUUUGGAGUUAGUUAGACCAGAAAAAAAUGAAAAAUGAAAAAAAAUAUUUGGGGUUUUCGGUCUUUCUGAAGGUAACACCCGGGUAUUAGGUUUUGGGGCUAGGGUAAGGUUUAAGGUUUUUGGCGUUAGGGUUAAAAUCACUGUCCAAAACCUUUGUAGGAACUCCUUUCCAACCUUUUGGAGUUAGUUAAACCAAAAAAAAAAUUGAAAUAUGAAAAAGAAAUAUUUGGGGUGUUCGGGCUUCCUGAAGGUAAUACCCAGGUAUUAGGUUAUGGGGCUUUGGUAAGGUUUAAGGUUUUUGGCAUUAUGGUUAAAAUCACUGUCCAAAACCUUUGUAGGAACUCUUUUCCAACCUUUUGGAGUUAGUUAGACCUAAAAAAAACGAAAAGUGAAAAAAAAAUAUUUGGGGUGUUCGGGCUUCCUGAUGGUAAUAUGGGGCUAGGGUAAGGUUUAAGGUUUUGGCGUUAGGGUUAAAAUCACUGUCCAAAACCUUUGUAGGAACUCUUUUCCAACCUUUUGGAGUUAGUUACACCAAAAAAAAUAUUGUAAAAUGAAAAAGAAAUAUUUGGGGUUUUCGGGCUUUCUGAAGGUAAUACCUGGGUAUUAGGUUACGGGGCUAGGGAAAGGUUUAAGGUUUUUGGCGUUAGGGUUAAAAUCACUGUCCAAAACCUUUGUAGCAACUCUUUUCCAACGUUUUGGAGUUAGUUAGACCCAAAAGAUAUGAAAAAUGAAAAAAAAAUAUUGGGGGUUUUCGGGCUUUCUGAAGGUAAUACCCGGGUUUUAGGUUAUGGGGCUAGGGUAAGGUUUUUGGUGUUAGGGUUAAAAUCACUGUCCAAAACCUUUGUAGGAACUCUUUUCCAACCUUCUGGAGUUAGUUAGACCAGAAAAAAAUGAAAAAUGAAAAAAAAAAUAUUUGGGGUUUUCGGGCUUUCUGAAGGUAACACCCGGGUUUUAGGUUUUAGGGCUAGGGUAAGGUUUAAGGUUUUUGGCGUUAGGGUUAAAAUCACUGUCCAAAACCUUUGUAGGAACUCCUUUCCAACCUUUUGGAGUUAGUUAAACCAAAAAAAAAAUUGAAAUAUGAAAAAGAAAUAUUUGGGGUGUUCGGGCUUCCUGCAGGUAAUACCCAGGUAUUAGGUUAUGGGGCUUUGGUAAGGUUUAAGGUUUUUGGCAUUAUGGUUAAAAUCACUGUCCAAAACCUUUGUAGGAACUCUUUUCCAACCUUUUGGAGUUAGUUAGACCUAAAAAAAACGAAAAAUGAAAAAAAACUAUUUGGGGUGUUCGGGCUUCCUGAAGGUAAUACCCGGGUAUUAGGUUAUGGGGCUAGGGUAAGGUUUAAGGAUUUUGGCGUUAGGGUUAAAAUCACUGUCCAAAACCUUUGUAGGAACUCUUUUCCAACGUUUUGGAGUUAGUUAGACCGGAAAGAAAUGAAAAAUGAAAAAAAAAUAUUUGGGGUUUUCGGGCUUUCUGAAGGUAAUACCCGGGUAUUAGGUUACGGGGCUAGGGUAAGGUUUAAGGUUUUUGGCGUUAGGGUUAAAAUCACUGUCCAAAACCUUUGUAGGAACUCUUUUCCAACCUUUUGGAGUUAGUUAGACCAAAAUAAAACAAAAAAUGAAAAAAAAAUAUUUGGGGUGUUCAGUCUUCCUGAAGGUAAUACCCGGGUAUUAGGUUAUGGGGCUAGGGUAAGGUUUUUGGCGUUAGGGUUAAAAUCACUGUCCAAAACCUUUGUAGGAAAUCUUUUCCAACCUUUUGGAGUUAGUUACACCAAAAAAAAAAUUGUAAAAUGAAAAAGAAAUAUUUGGGGUGUUUGGGCUUCCUGAAGGUAAUACCCGGGUAUUAGGUUAUGGGGCUAGUGAAAGGUUUCAGGUUUUUGGCGUAAGGGUUAAAAUCACUGUCCAACACCUUUGAAGGAACUCUUUUCCAACCUUUUAGAGUUAGUUAGACCAGAAAAAAAAUGAAAAAUGAAAAAAAAAAUAUUUGGGGUUUUCGGGCUUUCUGAAGGUAACACCCGGGUAUUAGGUUUUGGGGCUAGGGUAAGGUUUAAGUUUUUUGGUGUUAGGGUUAAAAUCACUGUCCAAAACCUUUGUAGGAACUUCUUUCCAACCUUUUGGAGUUAGUUGAACCAAAAAAAAAUUGUAAAAUGAAAAAGAAAUAUUUGGGGUGUUCGGGCUUCCUGAAGGUAAUACCCAGGUAUUAGGUUAUGGGGCUUUGGUAAGGUUUAAGGUUUUUGGCAUUAUGGUUAAAAUCACUGUCCAAAACCUUUGUAGGAACUCUUUUCCAACGUUUUGGAGUUAGUUAGACCCAAAAGAAAUGAAAAAUGAAAAAAAAAUAUUUGGGGUUUUCGGGCUUUCUGAAGGUAAUACCCUGGUAUAAGGUUUUGGGACUAAUGUAAGGUUUAAGGUUUUUGGCGUUAGGGUUAAAAUCACUGUCCAAAACCUUUGUAGGAACUCUUUUCCAACCUUUUGGAGUUAGUUACACCAAAAAAAAUAUUGUAAAAUGAAAAAGAAAUAUUUGGGGUUUUCGGGCUUUCUGAAGGUAAUACCCUGGUAUAAGGUUAUGGGACUAAUGUAAGGUUUAAGGUUUUUGGCGUUAGGGUUAAAAUCACUGUCAAAACCUUUGUAGGAACUCUUUUCCAACCUUUUGGAGUUAGUUAGACCAAAAAAAGAAAAAAAAAAGGAACAAGAAAUAUUUCGGGUGUUCGGGCUUCCUGAAGGUAAUACCCGGGUAUUAGGUCAUGGGGCUAGGGUAAGGUUAAAGGUUUUUGGCGUUAGGGUUAAAAUCACUGUCCAAAACCUUUGUAGGAACUCUUUUCCAACCUUUUGGAGUUAGUUACACCAAAAAAAAAAACAAAAAAUGAAAAAAAAAUAUUUGGGGUGUUCGGUCUUCCUGAAGGUUAUACCCGGGUAUUAGGUUAUGGGGCUAGGGUAAGGUUUUUGGCGUUAGGGUUAAAAUCACUGUCCAAAACCUUUGUAGGAACUCUUUUCCAACCUUUUGGAGUUAGUUAGACCAGAAAAAAAUGAAAAAUGAAAAAAAAAAAUAUUUGGGGUUUUCGGUCUUUCUGAAGGUAACACCCGGGUAUUAGGUUACGGGGCUAGGGUAAGGUUUAAGGUUUUUGGCGUUAGGGUUAAAAUCACUGUCCAAAACCUUUGUAGGAACUCUUUUCCAACCUUUUGGAGUUAGUUAGACCAAAAUAAAACAAAAAAUGAAAAAAAAAUAUUUGGGGUGUUCAGUCUUCCUGAAGGUAAUACCCGGGUAUUAGGUUAUGGGGCUAGGGUAAGGUUUUUGGCGUUAGGGUUAAAAUCACUGUCCAAAACCUUUGUAGGAAAUCUUUUCCAACCUUUUGGAGUUAGUUACACCAAAAAAAAAAUUGUAAAAUGAAAAAGAAAUAUUUGGGGUGUUUGGGCUUCCUGAAGGUAAUACCCGGGUAUUAGGUUAUGGGGCUAGUGAAAGGUUUAAGGUUUUUGGCGUAAGGGUUAAAAUCACUGUCCAAAACCUUUGUAGGAACUCUUUUCCAACCUUUUGGAGUUAGUUAGACCAGAAAAAAAAUGAAAAAUGAAAAAAAAAAUAUUUGGGGUUUUCGGGCUUUCUGAAGGUAACACCCGGGUAUUAGGUUUUGGGGCUAGGGUAAGGUUUAAGUUUUUUGGUGUUAGGGUUAAAAUCACUGUCCAAAACCUUUGUAGGAACUUCUUUCCAACCUUUUGGAGUUAGUUGAACCAAAAAAAAAAUUGUAAAAUGAAAAAGAAAUAUUUGGGGUGUUCGGGCUUCCUGAAGGUAAUACCCAGGUAUUAGGUUAUGGGGCUUUGGUAAGGUUUAAGGUUUUUGGCAUGGUGGGUUAAAAUCACUGUCCAAAACCUUUGUAGGAACUUUUUUUCAACCUUUUGGAGUUAGACCCAAAAGAAAUGAAAAAUGAAAAAAAAAUAUUUGGGGUUUUCGUGCUUUCUGAAGGUAAUACCCUGGUAUAAGGUUUUGGGACUAAUGUAAGGUUUAAGGUUUUUGGCGUUAGGGUUAAAAUCACUGUCCAAAACCUUUGUAGGAACUCUUUUCCAACCUUUUGGAGUUAGUUACACCAAAAAAAAUAUUGUAAAAUGAAAAAGAAAUAUUUGGGGUUUUCGGGCUUUCUGAAGGUAAUACCCUGGUAUUAGGUUAUGGGACUAGGUAAGGUUUAAGGUUUUUGGCGUUAGGGUUAAAAUCACUGUCCAAAACCUUUGUAGGAACUCUUUUCCAACCUUUUGGAGUUAGUUACACCAAAAAAAGAAAAAAAAAAGGAACAAGAAAUAUUGCGGGUGUUCGGGCUUCCUGAAGGUAAUACCCAGGUAUUAGGUCAUGGGGCUAGGGUAAGGUUAAAGGUUUUUGGCGUUAGGGUUAAAAUCACUGUCCAAAACCUUUGUAGGAACUCUUUUCCAACCUUUUGGAGUUAGUUACACCAAAAAAAAAACAAAAAAUGAAAAAGAAAUAUUUGGGGUGUUCGGGCUUCCUGAAGGUUAUACCUGGGUAUUAGGUUAUGGGGCUAGGGUAAGGUUUUUGGCGUUAGGGUUAAAAUCACUGUCCAAAACCUUUGUAGGAACUCUUUUCCAACCUUUUGGAGUUAGUUAGACCAGAAAAAAAUGAAAAAUGAAAAAAAAAAUAUUUGGGGUUUUCGGUCUUUCUGAAGGUAACACCCGGGUAUUAGGUUUUGGGGCUAGGGUAAGGUUUAAGUUUUUUGGUGUUAGGGUUAAAAUCACUGUCCAAAACCUUUGUAGGAACUUCUUUCCAACCUUUUGGAGUUAGUUGAACCAAAAAAAAAUUGUAAAAUGAAAAAGAAAUAUUUGGGGUGUUCGGGCUUCCUGAAGGUAAUACCCAGGUAUUAGGUUAUGGGGCUUUGGUAAGGUUUAAGGUUUUUGGCAUUAUGGUUAAAAUCACUGUCCAAAACCUUUGUAGGAACUCUUUUCCAACGUUUUGGAGUUAGUUAGACCCAAAAGAAAUGAAAAAUGAAAAAAAAAUAUUGGGGGUUUUCGGGCUUUCUGAAGGUAAUACCCUGGUAUAAGGUUUUGGGACUAAUGUAAGGUUUAAGGUUUUUGGCGUUAGGGUUAAAAUCACUGUCCAAAACCUUUGUAGGAACUCUUUUCCAACCUUUUGGAGUUAGUUACACCAAAAAAAAUAUUGUAAAAUGAAAAAGAAAUAUUUGGGGUUUUCGGGCUUUCUGAAGGUAAUACCCUGGUAUAAGGUUAUGGGACUAAUGUAAGGUUUAAGGUUUUUGGCGUUAGGGUUAAAAUCACUGUCCAAAACCUUUGUAGGAACUCUUUUCCAACCUUUUGGAGUUAGUUACACCAAAAAAAGAAAAAAAAAAGGAACAAGAAAUAUUUGGGGUUUUCGGGCUUUCUGAAGGUAACACCCGGGUAUUAGGUUUUGGGGCUAGGGUAAGGUUUAAGGUUUUUGGCGUUAGGGUUAAAAUCACUGUCCAAAACCUUUGUAGGAACUCUUUUCCAACCUUUUGGAGUUAGUUACACCAAAAAAAAAAUUGUAAAAUGAAAAAGAAAUAUUUGGGGUUUUCGGGCUUUCUGAAGGUAAUACCCUGGUAUAAGGUUAUGGGACUAGGGUAAGGUUUAAGGUUUUUGGCGUUAGGGUUAAAAUCACUGUCCAAAACCUUUGUAGGAACUCUUUUCCAACCUUUUGGAGUUAGUUAGACCAAAAAAAAAAAAAAAAAAAAAGAAAUAUUUGGGGUGUUCGGUCUUCCUGAAGGUUAUACCUGGGUAUUAGGUUAUGGGGCUAGGGUAAGGUUUUUUUGGCGUUAGGGUUAAAAUCACUGUCCAAAACCUUUGUAGGAACUCUUUUCCAACCUUUUGGAGUUAGUUAGACCAGAAAAAAAUGAAAAAUGAAAAAAAAAAUAUUUGGGGUUUUCGGUCUUUCUGAAGGUAACACCCGGGUAUUAGGUUUUGGGGCUAGGGUAAGGUUUAAGGUUUUUGGCGUUAGGGUUAAAAUCACUGUCCAAAACCUUUGUAGGAACUCCUUUCCAACCUUUUGGAGUUAGUUAAACCAAAAAAAAAUUGAAAUAUGAAAAAGAAAUAUUUGGGGUGUUCGGGCUUCCUGCAGGUAAUACCCAGGUAUUAGGUUAUGGGGCUUUGGUAAGGUUUAAGGUUUUUGGCAUUAUGGUUAAAAUCACUGUCCAAAACCUUUGUAGGAACUCUUUUCCAACCUUUUGGAGUUAGUUAGACCUAAAAAAAACGAAAAAUGAAAAAAAAAUAUUUGGGGUGUUCGGGCUUCCUGAAGGUAAUACCCGGGUAUUAGGUUAUGGGGCUAGGGUAAGGUUUAAGGAUUUUGGCGUUAGGGUUAAAAUCACUGUCCAAAACCUUUGUAGGAACUCUUUUCCAACGUUUUGGAGUUAGUUAGACCGGAAAGAAAUGAAAAAUGAAAAAAAAAUAUUUGGGGUUUUCGGGCUUUCUGAAGGUAAUAACCCAGGUAUUAGGUUACGGGGCUAGGGUAAGGUUUAAGGUUUUUGGCGUUAGGGUUAAAAUCACUGUCCAAAACCUUUGUAGGAACUCUUUUCCAACGUUUUGGAGUUAGUUAGACCGGAAAGAAAUGAAAAAUGAAAAAAAAAUAUUUGGGGUUUUCGGGCUUUCUGAAGGUUUCUGCAGGUAAUACCCAGGUAUUAGGUUAUGGGGCUUUGGUAUGGUUUAAGGUUUUUUUGCAUUAGGGUUAAAAUCACUGUCCAAAACCUCUGUAGGAACUCUUUUCCAACCUUUUGGAGUUAGUUACACCAAAAAAAAAAUUGUAAAAUGAAAAAGAAAUAUUUGGGGUGUUUGGGCUUCCUGAAGGUAAUACCUGGGUAUUAGGUUAUGGGGCUAGUGAAAGGUUUCAGGUUUUUGGCGUAAGGGUUAAAAUCACUGUCCAAAACCUUUGUAGGAACUCGUUGAGUUAGUUAGACCUAAAAAAAACGAAAAAUGAAAAAAAAAUAUUUGGGGUGUUCGGGCUUCCUGAAGGUAAUACCCGGGUAUUAGGUUAUGGGGCUAGGGUAAGGUUUAAGGAUUUUGGCGUUAGGGUUAAAAUCACUGUCCAAAACCUUUGUAGGAACUCUUUUCCAAUGUUUUGGAGUUAGUUAGACCGGAAAGAAAUGAAAAAUGAAAAAAAAAUAUUUGGGGUUUUCGGGCUUUCUGAAGGUUUCUGCAGGUAAUACCCAGGUAUUAGGUUACGGGGCUAGGGUAAGGUUUAAGGUUUUUGGCGUUAGGGUUAAAAUCACUGUCCAAAACCUUUGUAGGAACUCUUUUCCAACCUUUUGGAGUUAGUUAGACCAAAAUAAAACAAAAAAUGAAAAAAAAAUAUUUGGGGUGUUCAGUCUUCCUGAAGGUAAUACCCGGGUAUUAGGUUAUGGGGCUAGGGUAAGGUUUUUGGCGUUAGGGUUAAAAUCACUGUCCAAAACCUUUGUAGGAACUCUUUUCCAACCUUUUGGAGUUAGUUAGACCAGAAAAAAAUGAAAAAUGAAAAAAAAAAAUAUUUGGGGUUUUCGGUCUUUCUGAAGGUAACACCCGGGUAUUAGGUUUUGGGGCUAGGGUAAGGUUUAAGUUUUUUGGUGUUAGGGUUAAAAUCACUGUCCAAAACCUUUGUAGGAACUUCUUUCCAACCUUUUGGAGUUAGUUGAACCAAAAAAAAAUUGUAAAAUGAAAAAGAAAUAUUUGGGGUGUUCGGGCUUCCUGAAGGUAAUACCCAGGUAUUAGGUUAUGGGGCUUUGGUAAGGUUUAAGGUUUUUGGCAUUAUGGUUAAAAUCACUGUCCAAAACCUUUGUAGGAACUCUUUUCCAACGUUUUGGAGUUAGUUAGACCCAAAAGAAAUGAAAAAUGAAAAAAAAAUAUUUGGGGUUUUCGGGCUUUCUGAAGGUAAUACCCUGGGUAUAAGGUUUUGGGACUAAUGUAAGGUUUAAGGUUUUUGGCGUUAGGGUUAAAAUCACUGUCCAAAACCUUUGUAGGAACUCUUUUCCAACCUUUUGGAGUUAGUUACACCAAAAAAAAUAUUGUAAAAUGAAAAAGAAAUAUUUGGGGUUUUCGGGCUUUCUGAAGGUAAUACCCUGGUAUAAGGUUAUGGGACUAAUGUAAGGUUUAAGGUUUUUGGCGUUAGGGUUAAAAUCACUGUCCAAAACCUUUGUAGGAACUCUUUUCCAACCUUUUGGAGUUAGUUAGACCAAAAAAAGAAAAAAAAAAGGAACAAGAAAUAUUUGGGGUUUUCGGGCUUUCUGAAGGUAACACCCGGGUAUUAGGUUUUGGGGCUAGGGUAAGGUUUAAGGUUUUUGGCGUUAGGGUUAAAAUCACUGUCCAAAACCUUUGUAGGAACUCUUUUCCAACCUUUUGGAGUUAGUUACACCAAAAAAAAAAUUGUAAAAUGAAAAAGAAAUAUUUGGGGUUUUCGGGCUUUCUGAAGGUAAUACCCUGGUAUAAGGUUAUGGGACUAGGGUAAGGUUUAAGGUUUUUGGCGUUAGGGUUAAAAUCACUGUCAAAACCUUUGUAGGAACUCUUUUCCAACCUUUUGGAGUUAGUUAGACCAAAAAAAGAAAAAAAAAAGGAACAAGAAAUAUUUCGGGUGUUCGGUCUUCCUGAAGGUUAUACCUGGGUAUUAGGUUAUGGGGCUAGGGUAAGGUUUUUUUGCGUUAGGGUUAAAAUCACUGUCCAAAACCUUUGUAGGAACUCUUUUCCAACCUUUUGGAGUUAGUUAGACCAGAAAAAAAUGAAAAAUGAAAAAAAAAAAUAUUUGGGGUUUUCGGUCUUUCUGAAGGUAACACCCGGGUAUUAGGUUUUGGGGCUAGGGUAAGGUUUAAGGUUUUUGGCGUUAGGGUUAAAAUCACUGUCCAAAACCUUUGUAGGAACUCCUUUUCCAACCUUUUGGAGUUAGUUAAACCAAAAAAAAAAUUGAAAUAUGAAAAAGAAAUAUUUGGGGUGUUCGAGCUUCCUGCAGGUAAUACCCAGGUAUUAGGUUAUGGGGCUUUGGUAAGGUUUAAGGUUUUUGGCAUUAUGGUUAAAAUCACUGUCCAAAACCUUUGUAGGAACUCUUUUCCAACCUUUUGGAGUUAGUUAGACCUAAAAAAAACGAAAAAUGAAAAAAAAAUAUUUGGGGUGUUCGGGCUUCCUGAAGGUAAUACCCGGGUAUUAGGUUAUGGGGCUAGGGUAAGGUUUAAGGAUUUUGGCGUUAGGGUUAAAAUCACUGUCCAAAACCUUUGUAGGAACUCUUUUCCAACGUUUUGGAGUUAGUUAGACCGGAAAGAAAUGAAAAAUGAAAAAAAAAUAUUUGGGGUUUUCGGGCUUUCUGAAGGUUUCUGCAGGUAAUACCCAGGUAUUAGGUUACGGGGCUAGGGUAAGGUUUAAGGUUUUUGGCGUUAGGGUUAAAAUCACUGUCCAAAACCUUUGUAGGAACUCUUUUCCAACGUUUUGGAGUUAGUUAGACCGGAAAGAAAUGAAAAAUGAAAAAAAAAUAUUUGGGGUUUUCGGGCUUUCUGAAGGUUUCUGCAGGUAAUACCCAGGUAUUAGGUUACGGGGCUAGGGUAAGGUUUAAGGUUUUUGGCGUUAGGGUUAAAAUCACUGUCCAAAACCUUUGUAGGAACUCUUUUCCAACCUUUUGGAGUUAGUUACACCAAAAAAAAAAUUGUAAAAUGAAAAAGAAAUAUUUGGGGUGUUUGGGCUUCCUGAAGGUAAUACCUGGGUAUUAGGUUAUGGGGCUAGUGAAAGGUUUCAGGUUUUUGGCGUAAGGGUUAAAAUCACUGUCCAAAACCUUUGUAGGAACUCGUGGAGUUAGUUAGACCUAAAAAAAACGAAAAAUGAAAAAAAAAUAUUUGGGGUGUUCGGGCUUCCUGAAGGUAAUACCCGGGUAUUAGGUUAUGGGGCUAGGGUAAGGUUUAAGGAUUUUGGCGUUAGGGUUAAAAUCACUGUCCAAAACCUUUGUAGGAACUCUUUUCCAAUGUUUUGGAGUUAGUUAGACCGGAAAGAAAUGAAAAAUGAAAAAAAAAUAUUUGGGGUUUUCGGGCUUUCUGAAGGUUUCUGCAGGUAAUACCCAGGUAUUAGGUUACGGGGCUAGGGUAAGGUUUAAGGUUUUUGGCGUUAGGGUUAAAAUCACUGUCCAAAACCUUUGUAGGAACUCUUUUCCAACCUUUUGGAGUUAGUUAGACCAAAAUAAAACAAAAAAUGAAAAAAAAAAUAUUUGGGGUGUUCAGUCUUCCUGAAGGUAAUACCCGGGUAUUAGGUUAUGGGGCUAGGGUAAGGUUUUUGGCGUUAGGGUUAAAAUCACUGUCCAAAACCUUUGUAGGAACUCUUUUCCAACCUUUUGGAGUUAGUUAGACCAAAAAAAGAAAAAAAAAAGGAACAAGAAAUAUUUCGGGUGUUCGGUCUUCCUGAAGGUUAUACCUGGGUAUUAGGUUAUGGGGCUAGGGUAAGGUUUUUUUGCGUUAGGGUUAAAAUCACUGUCCAAAACCUUUGUAGGAACUCUUUUCCAACCUUUUGGAGUUAGUUAGACCAGAAAAAAAUGAAAAAUGAAAAAAAAAAUAUUUGGGGUUUUCGGUCUUUCUGAAGGUAACACCCGGGUAUUAGGUUUUGGGGCUAGGGUAAGGUUUAAGGUUUUUGGCGUUAGGGUUAAAAUCACUGUCCAAAACCUUUGUAGGAACUCCUUUCCAACCUUUUGGAGUUAGUUAAACCAAAAAAAAAAUUGAAAUAUGAAAAAGAAAUAUUUGGGGUGUUCGAGCUUCCUGCAGGUAAUACCCAGGUAUUAGGUUAUGGGGCUUUGGUAAGGUUUAAGGUUUUUGGCAUUAUGGUUAAAAUCACUGUCCAAAACCUUUGUAGGAACUCUUUUCCAACCUUUUGGAGUUAGUUAGACCUAAAAAAAACGAAAAAUGAAAAAAAAAUAUUUGGGGUGUUCGGGCUUCCUGAAGGUAAUACCCGGGUAUUAGGUUAUGGGGCUAGGGUAAGGUUUAAGGAUUUUGGCGUUAGGGUUAAAAUCACUGUCCAAAACCUUUGUAGGAACUCUUUUCCAACGUUUUGGAGUUAGUUAGACCGGAAAGAAAUGAAAAAUGAAAAAAAAAUAUUUGGGGUUUUCGGGCUUUCUGAAGGUUUCUGCAGGUAAUACCCAGGUAUUAGGUUACGGGGCUAGGGUAAGGUUUAAGGUUUUUGGCGUUAGGGUCAAAAUCACUGUCCAAAACCUUUGUAGGAACUCUUUUCCAACGCUUUGGAGUUAGUUAGACCGGAAAGAAAUGAAAAAUGAAAAAAAAAUAUUUGGGGUUUUCGGGCUUUCUGAAGGUUUCUGCAGGUAAUACCCAGGUAUUAGGUUACGGGGCUAGGGUAAGGUUUAAGGUUUUUGGCGUUAGGGUUAAAAUCACUGUCCAAAACCUUUGUAGGAACUCUUUUCCAACCUUUUGGAGUUAGUUACACCAAAAAAAAAAUUGUAAAAAUGAAAAAGAAAUAUUUGGGGUGUUUGGGCUUCCUGAAGGUAAUACCUGGGUAUUAGGUUAUGGGGCUAGUGAAAGGUUUCAGGUUUUUGGCGUAAGGGUUAAAAUCACUGUCCAAAACCUUUGUAGGAACUCGUUGAGUUAGUUAGACCUAAAAAAAACGAAAAAUGAAAAAAAAAUAUUUGGGGUGUUCGGGCUUCCUGAAGGUAAUACCCGGGUAUUAGGUUAUGGGGCUAGGGUAAGGUUUAAGGAUUUUGGCGUUAGGGUUAAAAUCACUGUCCAAAACCUUUGUAGGAACUCUUUUCCAAUGUUUUGGAGUUAGUUAGACCGGAAAGAAAUGAAAAAUGAAAAAAAAAUAUUUGGGGUUUUCGGGCUUUCUGAAGGUUUCUGCAGGUAAUACCCAGGUAUUAGGUUACGGGGCUAGGGUAAGGUUUAAGGUUUUUGGCGUUAGGGUUAAAAUCACUGUCCAAAACCUUUGUAGGAACUCUUUUCCAACCUUUUGGAGUUAGUUAGACCAAAAUAAAACAAAAAAUGAAAAAAAAAUAUUUGGGGUGUUCAGUCUUCCUGAAGGUAAUACCCGGGUAUUAGGUUAUGGGGCUAGGGUAAGGUUUUUGGCGUUAGGGUAAAAAUCACUGUCCAAAACCUUUGUAGGAACUCUUUUCCAACCUUUUGGAGUUAGUUACACCAAAAAAAAAAUUGUAAAAUGAAAAAGAAAUAUUUGGGGUGUUUGGGCUUCCUGAAGGUAAUACCUGGGUAUUAGGUUAUGGGGCUAGUGAAAGGUUUCAGGUUUUUGGCGUAAGGGUUAAAAUCACUGUCCAAAACCUUUGUAGGAACUCUUUUCCAACCUUUUAGAGUUAGUUAGACCAGAAAAAAAAUGAAAAAUGAAAAAAAAAAUAUUUGGGGUUUUCGGGCUUUCUGAAGGUAACACCCGGGUAUUAGGUUUUGGGGCUAGGGUAAGGUUUAAGUUUUUUGGUGUUAGGGUUAAAAUCACUGUCCAAAACCUUUGUAGGAACUUCUUUCCAACCUUUUGGAGUUAGUUAAACCAAAAAAAAAUUGUAAAAUGAAAAAGAAAUAUUUGGGGUGUUCGGGCUUCCUGAAGGUAAUACCCAGGUAUUAGGUUAUGGGGCUUUGGUAAGGUUUAAGGUUUUUGGCAUUAUGGUUAAAAUCACUGUCCAAAACCUUUGUAGGAACUCUUUUCCAACCUUUUGGAGUUAGUUAGACCUAAAAAAAAAACGAAAAAUGAAAAAAAAAUGUUUGGGGUGUUCGGGCUUCCUGAAGGUAAUACCCGGGUAUUAGGUUAUGGGGCUUGGGUAAGGUUUAAGUUUUUUGGCGUUAGGGUUAAAAUCACUGUCCAAAACCUUUGUAGGAACUCUUUUCCAAUGUUUUGGAGUUAGUUAGACCCGAAAGAAAUGAAAAAUGAAAAAAAAAAAUUUGGGGUUUUCGGGCUUUCUGAAGGUAAUACCCGGGUUUUAGGUUAUGGGGCUAGGAAAAGGUUUAAGGUUUUUGGCGUUAGGGUUAAAAUCCCUGUCCAAAACCUUUGUAGGAACUAUUUUCCAACCUUUUGGAGUUAGUUAGACAAAAAUAAAACAAAAAAUGAAAAAAAAAUAUUUGGGGUUUUCGGGCUUUCUGAAGGUAAUACCCUGGUAUAAGGUUUUGGGACUAAUGUAAGGUUUAAGGUUUUUGGCGUUAGGGUUAAAAUCACUGUCCAAAACCUUUGUAGGAACUCUUUUCCAACCUUUUGGAGUUAGUUACACCAAAAAAAAUAUUGUAAAAUGAAAAAGAAAUAUUUGGGGUUUUCGGGCUUUCUGACGGUAAUACCCUGGUAUAAGGUUAUGGGACUAAUGUAAGGUUUAAGGUUUUUGGCGUUAGGGUUAAAAUCACUGUCAAAACCUUUGUAGGAACUCUUUUCCAACCUUUUGGAGUUAGACCAAAAAAAGAAAAAAAAAAGGAACAAGAAAUAUUUCGGGUGUUCGGGCUUCCUGAAGGUAAUAGCCGGGUAUUAGGUCAUGGGGCUAGGGUAAGGUUAAAGGUUUUUGGCGUUAGGGUUAAAAUCACUGUCCAAAACCUUUGUAGGAACUCUUUUCCAACCUUUUGGAGUUAGUUACACCAAAACAAAAAAACAAAAAAUGAAGAAAAAAAGUAUUUGGGGUGUUCGGUCUUCCUGAAGGUUAUACCCGGGUAUUAGGUUAUGGGGCUAGGGUAAGGUUUUUGGCGUUAGGGUUAAAAUCACUGUCCAAAACCUUUGUAGGAACUCUUUUCCAACCUUUUGGAGUUAGUCAGACCAGAAAAAAAUGAAAAAUGAAAAAAAAGAAUAUUUGGGGUUUUUGGUCUUUCUGAAGGUAACACCCGGGUAUUAGGUUUUGGGGCUAGGAUAAGGUUUAAGGUUUUUGGCGUUAGGGUUAAAAUCACUGUCCAAAACCUUUGUAGGAACUCCUUUCCAACCUUUUGGAGUUAGUUAAACCAAAAAAAAAAUUGAAAUAUGAAAAAGAAAUAUUUGGGGUGUUCGGGCUUCCUGAAGGUAAUACCCAGGUAUUAGGUUAUGGGGCUUUGGUAAGGUUUAAGGUUUUUGGCAUUAUGGUUAAAAUCACUGUCCAAAACCUUUGUAGGAACUCUUUUCCAACCUUUUGGAGUUAGUUAGACCUAAAAAAAACGAAAAGUGAAAAAAAAAUAUUUGGGGUGUUCGGGCUUCCUGAUGGUAAUACCCGGGUAUUAGGUUAUGGGGCUAGGGUAAGGUUUAAGGAUUUUGGCGUUAGAGUUAAAAUCACUGUCCAAAACCUUUGUAGGAACUCUUUUCCAACCUUUUGGAGUUAGUUAGACCAAAAUAAAACAAAAAAUGAAAAAAAAAUAUUUGGGGUUUUGGGGCUUCCUGAAGGUAAUACCCGGGUAUUAGGUUAUGGGGCUAGGGUAAGGUUUUUGGCGUUAGGGUUAAAAUCACUGUCCAAAACCUUUGUAGGAACUCUUUUCCAACCUUUUGGAGUUAGUUACACCAAAAAAAAUAUUGUAAAAUGAAAAAGAAAUAUUUGGGGUUUUCGGGCUUUCUGACGGUAAUACCCUGGUAUAAGGUUAUGGGACUAAUGUAAGGUUUAAGGUUUUUGGCGUUAGGGUUAAAAUCACUGUCAAAACCUUUGUAGGAACUCUUUUCCAACCUUUUGGAGUUAGACCAAAAAAAGAAAAAAAAAAGGAACAAGAAAUAUUUCGGGUGUUCGGGCUUCCUGAAGGUAAUAGCCGGGUAUUAGGUCAUGGGGCUAGGGUAAGGUUAAAGGUUUUUGGCGUUAGGGUUAAAAUCACUGUCCAAAACCUUUGUAGGAACUCUUUUCCAACCUUUUGGAGUUAGUUACACCAAAACAAAAAAACAAAAAAUGAAGAAAAAAAGUAUUUGGGGUGUUCGGUCUUCCUGAAGGUAAUACCCGGGUAUUAGGUUAUGGGGCUAGUAAGGUAAGGUUUUUGGCGUUAGGGUUAAAAUCACUGUCCAAAACCUUUGUAGGAACUCUUUUCCAACCUUUUGGAGUUAGUUAGACCAGAAAAAAAUGAAAAAUGAAAAAAAAAAUAUUUGGGGUUUUCGGUCUUUCUGAAGGUAACACCCGGGUAUUAGGUUUUGGGGCUAGGAUAAGGUUUAAGGUUUUUGGCGUUAGGGUUAAAAUCACUGUCCAAAACCUUUGUAGGAACUCCUUUCCAACCUUUUGGAGUUAGUUAAACAAAAAAAAAAUUGAAAUUUGAAAAAGAAAUAUUUGGGGUGUUCGGGCUUUCUGAAGGUAAUACCCAGGUAUUAGGUUAUGGGGCUUUGGUAAGGUUUAAGGUUUUUGGCAUUAUGGUUAAAAUCACUGUCCAAAACCUUUGUAGGAACUCUUUUCCAACCUUUUGGAGUUAGUUAGACCUAAAAAAAACGAAAAGUGAAAAAAAAAUAUUUGGGGUGUUCGGGCUUCCUGAUGGUAAUACCCGGGUAUUAGGUUAUGGGGCUAGGGUAAGGUUUAAGGUUUUUGGCGUUAGGGUUAAAAUCACUGUCCAAAACCUUUGUAGGAACUCUUUUCCAACCUUUUGGAGUUAGUUAGACCAAAAUAAAACAAAAAAUGAAAAAAAAAUAUUU
rnacentral:lncRNA from 1 species